CACGAAUGCCCCAAGCGUUAUCCGGAAUUACUGGGCGUAAAGCGCACGCAGGCGGUCUGUCAAGUCGGACGUGAAAUCCCCGGGCUCAACCUGGGAACUGCAUCCGAAACUGGCAGGCUAGAGUCUUGUAGAGGGGGGUAGAAUUCCAGGUGUAGCGGUGAAAUGCGUAGAGAUCUGGAGGAAUACCGGUGGCGAAGGCGGCCCCCUGGACAAAGACUGACGCUCAGGUGCGAAAGCGUGGGGAGCAAACAGG
rnacentral:misc_RNA from 1 species